ensembl:lncRNA
GGGGACGAUCACACAGGUGACAGAUAUGACAUGACAUGACAGAGCAUUGGCACUGCUCCACCAAGGGCUCUGUAAAUCCCUGGUGACAGGCUUGGGCAAGCAACUCACAAACACCUGGGAACUUGCUACACUUUGAUUGUUUGCAGGUUAGAUAUUAAGAAAAACUUGUUCUCAGAAAGAGUGGUUGGGCACUGACACAGGCUGCCUAGGGAAGCAGUGGAGUCAUUGUCCCUGGAAGUGUUCAAGAAUGCUUCCUGCCUUGGCUUUGCUCACACUGAUGUUUCAGGAGGACACUUCAGCUCGAAGCAACAGCAAUACAGGCUUCUGUGUGCAGGCUUUGGUGUAUUGUGCUCCUAGUAGAUACUGAUACAUUGCUAUGAACUGAAUAUAACUGCAAAGGCAGAUACGAGUGAAAAUGUAGCUUUGAGCAGACUAGGUGGAUGAUGAAAUGAAACGCAUACAUGAAGACAUCGUCCCAGUUUCAUUUGUAAAUUGUGAGGUUCUGUCCUAACCUUUACUUCUUUGGAGAGAGAAUUUGAGGAUACAGUUGGUAAUUGCAUGAAAGUGACAUCUCAGUGCUUAGUACUGAACAAAAAGAAUCACAAAUGUUAGGAACUAUUGGUAAAGCAAUAGAGAACAAAACAGAGUUAAUCAUUAUGCCUUUAUAUAAAUGCAUGGCAUGUCUGUGUCUUUGUACUGUUCUGUUCUUUUCAUCUCAGAAAGAAUAUAGUGGAACUGGAAAAAGGUUCAAUUGUCCUUGAUUGUCAAGGGCUAUCAAUAUAUAGGAUGUGUUCUGUGCAAGGAAUAGCUAAGUAAGAUAAGAUUCUUCUUUCUGGAAAAGAGACAAAUUACGGGGAACAUGUUAGAGGGCUAUAAAAUCAGGAGUGAGCUGGAGAGGAUGGAUAGGGGUUGAUUGUUCACUGUCUCUUCCACUAUAAGUACCGGGGAUCAUCAGAGUAAGAUAGAGGGAACAAGCUUCAAAACAAACAGAAGUGAGUUAUUCCUAAUGCAGCAGGUAAUUCAUCAGCAAUACUGCCUGCCUGCCUUAGUAUUUAGUGAGCACUGAAGGUUUAGGGGGGACGAAGGGGAGACUGAACAUAUGAAUGGAAAAAAAAAUGCAUCAGGGGAUACCAACUAGACAGAAACCAGGCUUAACACCAGAGCUGGGAAGAGGUGGUGGCUGAGAGUGUAUCACAGAAGGAGAUAGUCUGUUCUUGCCUUAUUCUCAGUCCUUCUCAGGUUACCCCUUAUGGCAGCUGUAACCUCCAAGCCUGCCUCCUGCCAACUUUGGUUCUCACCAGUUUGGCUAUUCUUAUAUUUGAUGCAUAACAGCGCCUUAACACAGGGGGAUUCUUGGCCCUUCUAACUUGUGUACAUGAAUGCAGUUCCUGAACUGCAUUCAGCACCUAUUCACCUUCACACUAGAAAAUAUGCCUUUUUGUGGCAAGUCAACAGUGCUCUGAUUCGGAAGGUGUUGUGUCAAUCACUAUAAAUAUGCAGUUUGUAUUCACAGUCCAGUUCUUUUCUUUUGUCUUUUCUGUGUCUGUUCUUUUCAUGGCUGUGCUAUGCCAUUUUUAUUGCAAAACAAAGGAAAGACCUUUGUAAUACACAAGGAAAUCUAAUUUGCUUUUCACAGUGGUCCUAAAGCCAGUGAUUGAUGUGUUUCAGUAAUUAAAAUUUGCUACCUUUGAAAUACUAAAUGUAAGAUUUAGGAAGACAGGGGAAUGGGAGAAAACAGAAAAUAUAUUAGCAACUUUCAUGUCUUGUGUUAUAGCGUUCAGUAUUCUGCCCAUUUAUGUUGGAACAAGUGAGCAAAUUUCACAUUUAUGAAGAUAAUCCUGCAUACUGGGGAGAGAAAACUGAUAGUCAUUCUGCCUAUUGAGAAGGAAUGAUUGAGCACCAAAUGUCAGUAUACCUUGUCUCAGGAGAAAAAAGAAAUGAAAACUGUAGGUAUUGAACAAGUCACAAGUUAUAGAGAUGAUCAAGGAAUCACAGAAUCAUUAAGGUUGGAAAAGACCUCCAAGAUCAUCUAGUCCAAACACCAACCCAUCCCUACCAUGCCAGCUACCCACGUCCCUCAGUGCCACAUCUCAACAUUUCUUGAACACCUCCAAGGACAGUGACUCCACCACCUCCCUGGGCAGCCUGUGCCAAUGCAUCACCACUCUUUCUGAGAAGAAAUUUUUCCUAAUAUCCAAUAUGAACCUACGCUUCUACAACUUGAGGCCAUUAACACUCGUCCUAUUGCUGUUACGUGGGAGAAGAGGCUGAUCCUCCACCUUGCUACAAUCUCUUUACAGGCAGUUGUAGAGAGUGAUAAAGUCUCCCCUGAGCUUCCUCCUCUCCAGACUCAACAAUGGAAUCCUUUGAAAAUGAUGGUGGAUUUUAGCUUCAUGUAGCUAUUAGAUCUCUUACUGUACACAGCUCAGAGGACCUUUACACAGUACAAAGCCAUACAGUGAUACUGAAGAUAAUGGCAGAUGAGCACAGGUAGUGGAAAGCCCAAACCCAAGAGUGUGCUGCUAUGUAAGCACUGACAUACCUUGUGUCUCUGUUUUCUUUCUGGAGUUUGCUAAGUCUGUUCUGAUCAUUGCUGUUCUAGUAAGUAAGGCCAAGAAAACACUUAGCCUGUGACUGAAGAGGAGGCUCAGGGGAGACCUUAUUGCUCCCUAUAACUACUUGAAGGGAGGUUGUAGUGAGCUGGGGGUCGGCCUCUUCUCUCGUGUAACUAGUGACAGGACUAGAGGGAAUGGCUUCAAGCUGCAUCAGGGGAGAUUCAGGCUGGAUUUUAGGAAAUACUACUUCUCUGAAAGAGUGGUCAGGCACUGGAAUGGGCUGCCCAGGGAAGUGGUGGAGUCACCGACCGUGGAGGUGUUCAAGGAACGUUUGGACGCUGUGUUGAGAGACAUGGUUUAGUGAGAACUAUUGGUGAUGGGUGAAUGGUUGGACUGGUCUUUUCCAACCUUGUUGAUUCUAUGAUUCUAUGAUUCAUCCUUUUUCUCAGCCUCUCUGCAGGGCUAAUGAGAAUGUACAUGUACACACAUUGCAUUAUUGGGCUAUGCAGUGUAGAAUUUUUUUUACAUAUUUGAACAAGUUACCUGGUCUGUGGAAGAUGAAUUUCAACCAUUUGAGUUGCUUAAAGAAAGCUAGAUGUCUUUCCAUACUGUAUAUUGGCCAGAAGUCACCUGGAAUUACAGACUUGAUACGGACAUUGCUGCAUGAAACCCUCUGACUUUUUCUACAUUGCAGACAGCAACAAAAUGAACAUGGAAAUCCCUCCUAGCUUUAACAUUCAUAAAUAACUGAACCACUUACCUGUCUGAAAAAGAUGAUGACCAAAACAAAUCUCAGUAUGUAUAGUUAAUUUUUAAGCACUCUGCUACUGAGCUGUAUUAUCACCAGGUUACAUCUUCAGCCUUCGCUGAAGCCAUACGCUUACCUAGCAACACCUCAUCUAUGAAGCUCUGAGCUCUCUGGAGCCUUGGAAGACUCUCUUUCAUCAGUGUGAAGUGGAAGUGAAGACAGCCAAAGUCUUGGGUCUCAUCUUGCUGCUCUCAGAUCCUUGGCCAAUGGCACUCUGGAUAGUUCCAUCUACAGCAAAUCUUACGGUGCAACACCCGCAGUUCAUGCACUGGUGUAGAACUUCCCAGUAUCUUUGAACCUCUGGGUGAGGCCAGUGGCAUCUGAAUGAGAAAUGGAAGCCUCAGAAUGACAUGGGAUGUUCAUCAGGAUUUGGUGCCUCUGUAAAAAACCGUGCUUUUGUCAGAAGCAAAUCUUCAGGCUCCAGGCAUGCAAGUAGGCUGCCUCUUAGAAGACUAUGGAACGUCACUGAGGUGGCCAAUGCCAAAUGCACAUGGAGAUGCAGUGGGACAAACGAUGAAGAAAGAUGAUUAGAUGAAGAGGAAAAUGUCUUUGGAGUUAUGAAAUGACUGAUUAACAUGAAAACCUUGUGGCUAGUUUACAAGGAUAUUGGAUUUAGCAGGAGAAUUACUGAAAAUCAAACAAACUCGUAUUUAUGUAAAGACACACAUCAGAGUGACUGAAAGAACAUUUAUUUGAAAAAAAAUUGAUUUCAUUUCCAUCUUUCACCAGGAAACUAUUCUUUAUGAAGAAAGAAAAAUGUGAGUCCUUUGCAAAAUAUGAGAUCCAUUCAAUAUCCACUCCCUCCUUGAAAGUCUUGUCACACUUUUUUGCUAUUAAUCAAUGAUCUGUAAGAUGGCCAGGCUUUAAUCGAAGGAAAUGUUAUUAUUCUGCAGGUAAAAGCGUUUGCAACAUGCCAAAGGGUGUUUCUUUAAACUUUAAUGGAUAAAGCCUAGAGAGCAAGUUUCAUUAGUCUGUAGAGAAAAAACAUUUAUUUAUCAUAAUGUGUGAAGCCACGAGUUUUCUGCAUUUGCUUAUGAUCCUGACAAUUUUCAGAUAAAAUUAUAGGAAUAAUCAUGAAAAAGCCCCUGAAGCCUUAGAAUAUUUCCUGUGAGGAAAGAAGAGAUUGUUUCUGUCUGAUAAUUUAAUAAAUAAAUAAAUAAAUAAAUAGGAACAAAACCUAGCAUUUAAAUUCAAGCUAAAUAAAAAUCUUAAAAGGUUUUGUCUUUUCUGUGAGUACAAGGAACACAGGGAGUUCACUAGGAGACAUUUACCUUCUUGUUCUUGAGCUUAGGGGUCUGAACAGUUAUGCCCCCAAAGCGGCAGCUUCCUGUAAUAUUGACCGAACCACCUGAGGCUCCCAGCUCUGGGAAGCCAGGCUGGAUAUUUUGGAAGAAAGAUCUUUCCCCAGAGAUUUCAGGUACUUUCACUCUAGAUUUCAGCUAUAUCACUGACAAUUUUAUUUGUGCAGUUCUUGUGACGGUCCCAGUUGCUGAGUGCAAGUGAAACCCUUACCUCCCAGAUUAUGAAUUCUAUAAAAAGUCUUCUUAUAUUUCAAGAGUGGACAAAGGUUUACAGAGAGCACUCAGAUUAGAAGGAAGUAUGUACUGUGCUAGAAUGUUAGAAUACAGUAUGAUGAAUCCUGGUUCCUAUUUAAGGAAUUAAAAAUAGUGAUGCCUAAAAAAUAAACAAUGCUCUG